UCCCUGGUGGUUAGACAGUAAAGCAUCUGCCUGCAAUGCAGGAAACCUGGGUUCAAUCCCUGGGUUGGGAA
rnacentral:tRNA from 1 species